UGAAUCUACCAGAACAGGACUAAUGCAGAAGAGGAAGAGGAGAGGAAGCCUCAGCCUCUGGUUUCAAGGAGCCCUCGUCCAGGUGGGGAGACACUCACGUGAUUACUCCAGGGACAAAACGCAGGCCUGAGUGGUCCUUUUAGGCCUGUCCCUGUCGGAAAGAACACAGGAGUGACUUGGUCACAUGGUUCAGUCCCCAGGCACACUCCUCUCGCCUUCCUCCUCCACGGAGCCACACUGCCCAAGUGUGCCUCAGAGGCAGUUGAGCAAAUCCAGAUGGUAGAAAGCCCCAUUCCCAGGAGGGGCCCGACAGCUGCUGAAGGAUAUUGAGGGAGCCUUGUUUUGUCAUCAGUUCUCUUCCUGCCCUACCACGGCUCUGUCUGUGCCUGUAUCUCCGAGCAUAACCUUUAAUCAGAUCUGCUCACCAUGUCCCAAGCUGCGCUCUUAUCAAACUAGACACAUAGCCAAUAUCCUCCAAAUAUUCAAAUCUAACAUCGGACUGUGAAAUUAGAACAAUUAUACCAAACUGUAAA